rnacentral:rRNA from 1 species
GGGAACUUGUUCGGGGGACAGAUUAACAGGAUUAGAUACCCUGGUAGUCCACGCCCUAAACGAUGGAUGCUAGUCGUAAGAGGUAUCGACCCCUCUUGUGACGCAGCUAACGCAUUAAGCAUCCCGCCUGGGGAGUACGGCCGCAAGGUUGAAACUCAAAUGAAUUGACGGGGACCCGCACAAGCGGUGGAGCAUGUGGAUUAAUUCGAUACUAACCGAAGAACCUUACCCAGGUUUGACAUCGAUCGAAAGACCUAGAGAUAGGUCCCUGAACCACAAGUUCACGUGAAGACAGAUGUUGCAUGGCUGUCGUCAGCUCGUGCCGUGAGGUGUACGGUUAAGUCCGCCAACGAGCGCAACCCUCGUCUUGUGUUACCAGCGAGUAAUGUCGGGGACUCACGAGAGACCGCCGGUGUAAGCCGGAGGAAGGUGAGGAUGACGUCAAGUCAGCAUGGCUCUUACGCCUGGGGCUUCACACAUGCUACAAUGGGCGCAACAAACGGCAGCAAUACCGCGAGGUGGAGCAAAUCCGAAAAAUACGCCCCCAGUUCAGAUUGUAGUCUGCAACUCGACUACAUGAAGGCGGAAUCGCUAGUAAACGCAGGUCAGCUAUACUGCGUUGAAUACGUUCCCGGGUCUUGUACACACCGCCCGUCAAGUCACCUGAAUCGUCUUCACCCGAAGUCCGUGGCCUAACUCGCAAGAGAGGGAGCGGCCGAAGGUGAUGGGGGUAAGGGGGACUAAGUCGUAACAAGGUAACCAAUCUU